rnacentral:rRNA from 1 species
AUUGAACGCUGGCGGCAGGCCUAACACAUGCAAGUCGAGCGAGCGGCGGACGGGUGAGUAAUGUCUGGGUAACUGCCUGAUGGAGGGGGAUAACUACUGGAAAUGGUAGCUAAUACCGCAUCCCAUCAGAUGUGCCCAGGUGGGAUUAGCUAGUAGGUGGGGUAACGGCCCACCUAGGCGACGAUCCCUAGCUGGUCUGAGAGGAUGACCAGCAACACUGGAACGGAGACACGGUCCAGACUCCUACGGGAGGCAGCAGUGGGGAAUAUUGCACAAGGGGCGCAAGCCUGAUGCAGCAAUGCCGCGUGUGUGAAGAAGGCCUUCGGGUUGUAAAGCACUUUCAGCGGGGAGGCGUUACCCGCAGAAGAAGCACCGGCGAACUCCGUGCCAGCAGCCGCGGUAAUAC